rnacentral:rRNA from 1 species
GAUGAACGCUGGCGGCGUGCCUAAUACAUGCAAGUCGAGCGAACGGACGAGAAGCUUGCUUCUCUGAUGUUAGCGGCGGACGGGUGAGUAACACGUGGAUAACCUACCUAUAAGACUGGGAUAACUUCGGGAAACCGGAGCUAAUACCGGAUAAUAUUUUGAACCGCAUGGUUCAAAAGUGAAAGACGGUCUUGCUGUCACUUAUAGAUGGAUCCGCGCUGCAUUAGCUAGUUGGUAAGGUAACGGCUUACCAAGGCAACGAUGCAUAGCCGACCUGAGAGGGUGAUCGGCCACACUGGAACUGAGACACGGUCCAGAGUCCUGCGAGAGGCAGCAGUCGGCAAUCUUCCGCAGUGGGCGAGAGCCUGACGGAGCAGCGCCGCGUGUGUGGUGAAGGUCUUCGGAUCGUAAAACUCUGUUAUUAGGGAAGAACAUAUGUGUAAGUAACUGUGCACAUCUUGACGGUACCUAAUCAGAAAGCCACGGCUAACUACGUG